rnacentral:rRNA from 1 species
AUUGAACGCUGGCGGCAUGCCUUACACAUGCAAGUCGAGCGCGAAAGGGGGGCAACCCCCGAGUAGAGCGGCAGACGGGUGAGUAACACAUCGGAACGUACCCAGUAGUGGGGGACAACCUCGAGAAAUCGAGGCUAAUACCGCAUACGACCCACGGGUGAAAGCGGGGGACCGCAAGGCCUCGCGCUAUUGGAGCGGCCGAUGUCCGAUUAGCUAGUUGGCGGGAUAAGAGCCCACCAAGGCGACGAUCGGUAGCUGGUCUGAGAGGACGACCAGCCACACUGGGACUGAGACACGGCCCAGACUCCUACGGGAGGCAGCAGUGGGGAAUUUUGGACAAUGGGGGCAACCCUGAUCCAGCCAUGCCGCGUGCGGGAAGAAGGCCUUCGGGUUGUAAACCGCUUUCGGCCGGAACGAAAUCGCCCGGGUGAACAUCCCGGGUGGAUGACGGUACCGGAAGAAGAAGCACCGGCUAACUACGUGCCAGCCGCCGCUGUAAAAC